UUUUAAAUCAGUAAAACUAAGCGAAUCACCAGAGAUCUUUGGGUCAAGACGUAAAUCACGUGACACGCCCAAUCGAGACUUGAAUGCGACCAUUUUUUCUCCGCGACGUCAGCAGUCAUCACUACUACAGCAGUGAAGAGGACCUGCACCUACACGGCUCUGUUGCUGGCUUUUCGAGGCAUGAAACAACACUAAGAGGAUGUCCCACUGAACUGAGAUGAGUGACAAUCAUGAUGAUGAAGAGGCGUCAGGUGAGCCUCAAGCCACCACAUCUUCAGAAGGUACCACUGGGCCUAGGUGUGCCAUAUUGGAUGGGAAAUUCUUCAAAGUAGUAUCUCAAAAUCCAAGUGGAAAGAUAGAAGCUGAGUGUCAGCUGUGCACAACCAAGAAAGCCAUUAUUUGUGGCUCUUAUCAAGCAACAACAAAUUUCAAGACACAUUUGAAAAGAAAACACCCAGAGAAUCUACAGGAAUUUGAAAAUUACAAAAAGGAAAGUGCAAGUGGCCAGCAGAAGAAAGCCAAAACAUCAUUAAGGCAGACUCGUUUGUUUGACCAUGCUAGCCCAACAAUAUCACAAAGUAAAGUCGACUCCCUUGUGAAAUCCUUUGUUGUCAAAGGAAUGCACUCAUUAGCCACCGUUGAACAAACAGAAUUCAUCGAGCUUGUGCAGGGACUUCACCCAGGUGCCAAUGUAAUGUCCAGACGGACACUCGGACGACGGAUUGAUGAAGAAUUUGCAACAAAAAAAGCAUUCCUAAAAGAGACGCUUAAAAAUGUUCGCCGUGUUUGUACAACAGUGGAUAUUUGGUCAACAAAGAAAACCAGUUAUUUGGGAGCAACAGUACAUUGGAUCAAUGGAGACACGCUGGAAAGGCAGUCAGCCGCUCUUGCCGUUAGGCAUUUUCCCAGCCCCCAUACUUAUAACCGAAUAGCAGAACUGUUGGAUGAGAUUCACACAGAAUAUGGGCUGUCUUCAGACACCAUUGUGUCUACAGUUACUGAUAAUGCAUCCAACUUUGCAAAGGCCUUUAAAGAGUUCAGUGUCACUGGAAAAACAAAUGACCCAGAUGAAGUUGAAGAGCUGGACGAUGAGCUGUCCUUCCUGGUCAUAGAUCCUGAGAGAGAAGAAGCAUCUGAGUGUUCCAUCAUUUUACCACCACACCUCCGGUGUGCGACACAUACUCUGAGUUUAAUCUCAACUACUGAUGUCAAGAAAUCGAUCACUAGCAAUGCAACUCUCAGCAGGCUGAAUCAUUCAACGAUGGCGAAGUGCUCAGCAUUAUGGACAGCAUCUGGCAGACCAAAGAGUGCUGAAACGCUAGGCAAAGUAAUCGAGCAGUAACUCAAGACACCCUGCAUUACAAGGUGGAAUUCUCUGCAUGACUCCUUGAGUCAGUUGUCAUUCUUGCGUGACAAGCUCCCUGAUGCCAUGACUGCCCUGCAACUUCCACCAUUCAGGGAAGUCGAACUGGACUACAUUGAGGAAUUUUGCAGAGUGUUACGACCGAUUGCCAUCUCAAUAGAUCGGCUUCAAGGGCAAUCUGCAUGCUAUUAUGGUGAGCUGUUGCCAACACUUUUCACCAUUCAAGCCAAGCUGGAGGAUCUGCAAGCAUCAAACUUGAGGUACUGCUCACACGUUCUUCAAGCAACCAUAGCAGGGUUCAAAAAACGCUUCCACAAUUUUCUGAUGCUGGAGCAUGACGUGAAUGAGGCCAUCCUGGCAACCACAACACACCCAUACUUUAAGAUGAGGUGGUUACCCCAGAGGUUGGCUUCUGAGAAGAGGCGAAUACAGCAACUGAUGCUGCACUCAGCAGACGAACUCAGACUUCUCUCAGAGAGUGACGGGACCACACCGAGCACAGAGGAGAAUGACGAAUUCUUUGUGUUCACUGAUCAAGGAACAGUCAACCAGCUGGAGGCCGAGGCCUUGCCCAGCCACAGCAAGGCGGAACUGGAGACCCUUCAUUUUUUGGAGGAUCCCAGAAAAGACCUGGCUUCACUAAAUGCAUACCCUUUGAUGAAACAGCUUUUUGUGAGAUUUAACACAACCCUACCAUCCUCAGCCCCGGUUGAGCGCCUGUUUUCUUUUGCUGGCUUAGUGAACCGGCCUGACAGAAGGUCAUUAACACCAGAUAUGCUGGAGAAGUUGGUUGUCCUGAAGAACAACUGAUCUGUUUUUCUGUUUAAUAUGGAUAAAAUAAAAUGGAUUUGAAUGUAGCGUUAGCUGUCUCCUUUUUUAUUUAUUGUACAUUCCUCAGUUUACAGACAGUAUUCAAUACAGGCAUUAUCUCGCGUGUAUUUUUGUAUUUUCAAAAUACAAAAUACUUGUAUUGUAUUUAAAUACAUUUUCCAGACCAGUAUUUUUGUAUUUUAUUUUGAUACAUUUUUUGAUCAAGUAUUUGUAUUUUGUAUCAAAAUACUUUAUGAUGUAUUUGUGCCCAG